CCUACGGGUGGCAGCAGUGAGGAAUAUUGGGCAAUGGGCGCGAGCCUGAACCAGCCAAGUAGCGUGAAGGAUGACUGCCCUACGGGUUGUAAACUUCUUUUAUAAAGAAAUAAAGUGAGGCACGUGUGCCUUUUUGUAUGUAAUUUAUGAAUAAGGAUCGGCUAACUCCGAGCCAGCAGCCGCGGUAAUACGGAGGAUCCGAGCGUUAUCCGGAUUUAUUGGGUUUAAAGGGAGCGUAGAUGGGUUGUUAAGUCAGUUGUGAAAGUUUGCGGCUCAACCGUAAAAUUGCAAUUGAUACUGGCAGCCUUGAGUACAGUUGAGGUAGGCGGAAUUCGAGGUGUAGCGGUGAAAUGCUUAGAUAUCACGAAGAACUCCGAUUGCGAAGGCAGCUUACUAACCUGCCACUGACAUUGAUGCUCGAAAGUGUGGGUAUCAAACAGGAUUAGAUACCCCAGUAGUC
rnacentral:rRNA from 1 species